UACGUAGGUGGCAAGCGUUGUCCGGAAUUAUUGGGCGUAAAGCGCGCGCAGGUGGUUCCUUAAGUCUGAUGUGAAAGCCCACGGCUCAACCGUGGAGGGUCAUUGGAAACUGGGGAACUUGAGUGCAGAAGAGGAAAGUGGAAUUCCAGGUGUAGCGGUGAAAUGCGUAGAGAUUUGGAGGAACACCAGUGGCGAAGGCGACUUUCUGGUCUGUAACUGACACUGAGGCGCGAAAGCGUGGGGAGCAAACAGG
rnacentral:rRNA from 1 species